rfam:Ovis aries breed Texel chromosome 4, whole genome shotgun sequence.
UCCCUGGUGGCUCAGAUGGUAAAGCAUCUGCCUGUGAUACAGGAAACCUGGGUUCAAUCCCUGGGUUGGGAA